rnacentral:rRNA from 1 species
GGUAACAUCAAAUCGUACCCCAAACCGACACAGGUGGUCAGGUAGAGAAUACCAAGGCGCUUGAGAGAACUCGGGUGAAGGAACUAGGCAAAAUGGUGCCGUAACUUCGGGAGAAGGCACGCUGACAUGUAGGUGAAGUGAUUUACUCAUGGAGCUGAAGUCAGUCGAAGAUACCAGCUGGCUGCAACUGUUUAUUAAAAACACAGCACUGUGCAAACACGAAAGUGGACGUAUACGGUGUGACGCCUGCCCGGUGCCGGAAGGUUAAUUGAUGGGGUCAGCGCAAGCGAAGCUCCUGAUCGAAGCCCCGGUAAACGGCGGCCGUAACUAUAACGGUCCUAAGGUAGCGAAAUUCCUUGUCGGGUAAGUUCCGACCUGCACGAAUGGCGUAAUGAUGGCCAGGCUGUCUCCACCCGAGACUCAGUGAAAUUGAACUCGCUGUGAAGAUGCAGUGUACCCGCGGCAAGACGGAAAGACCCCGUGAACCUUUACUAUAGCUUGACACUGAACAUUGAGCCUUGAUGUGUAGGAUAGGUGGGAGGCUUUGAAGCGUGGACGCCAGUCUGCGUGGAGCCGGCCUUGAAAUACCACCCUUUAAUGUUUGAUGUUCUAACGUGGACCCGUGAUCCGGGUUGCGGACAGUGUCUGGUGGGUAGUUUGACUGGGGCGGUCUCCUCCUAAAGAGUAACGGAGGAGCACGAAGGUUGGCUAAUCCUGGUCGGACAUCAGGAGGUUAGUGCAAUGGCAUAAGCCAGCUUGACUGCGAGCGUGACGGCGCGAGCAGGUGCGAAAGCAGGUCAUAGUGAUCCGGUGGUUCUGAAUGGAAGGGCCAUCGCUCAACGGAUAAAAGGUACUCCGGGGAUAACAGGCUGAUACCGCCCAAGAGUUCAUAUCGACGGCGGUGUUUGGCACCUCGAUGUCGGCUCAUCACAUCCUGGGGCUGAAGUAGGUCCCAAGGGUAUGGCUGUUCGCCAUUUAAAGUGGUACGCGAGCUGGGUUUAGAACGUCGUGAGACAGUUCGGUCCCUAUCUGCCGUGGGCGCUGGAGAACUGAGGGGGGCUGCUCCUAGUACGAGAGGACCGGAGUGGACGCAUCACUGGUGUUCGGGUUGUCAUGCCAAUGGCACUGCCCGGUAGCUAAAUGCGGAAGAGAUAAGUGCUGAAAGCAUCUAAGCACGAAACUUGCCCCGAGAUGAGUUCUCCCUGAGACUUAAAGUCUCCUGAAGGAACGUUGAAGACGACGACGUUGAUAGGCCGGGUGUGUAAGCGCAGCGAUGCGUUGAGCUAACCGGUACUAAUGAACCGUGAGGCUUAACCUUACAACGCCGAAG